rnacentral:misc_RNA from 1 species
ACCCGAGUGGAGUGGAGAGCAAGUGGUGCGCCUCCUUAAUAGCCGUCUAUCGUCCUCUGCCGAUGAUAUAUGAUACUAAUCUGUCUGUAUUAAACGUAAUACACGAUGGAGUUCGACGUACACGUACAAAUUGUAUUGAAAGUUGUAAGAGAGAGAUUGGUGUUCGUGAACCCAGACUGCUAUUCACAAAGAAUGGAAAUCAAGCGAAAUUACACGUGGAACGUAGGGAGUUGAAUUUCGCGAGAAACGUGAAUGCGAAGCGACGUAGUAGUCAC